GAUGAACGCUGGCGGCGUGCCUAAUACAUGCAAAUCGAGCGAACAGACGAGGAGCUUGCUCCUCUGACGUUAGCGGCGGACGGGUGAGUAACACGUGGAUAACCUACCUAUAAGACUGGGAUAACUUCGGGAAACCGGAGCUAAUACCGGAUAAUAUAUUGAACCGCAUGGUUCAAUAGUGAAAGACGGUUUUGCUGUCACUUAUAGAUGGAUCCGCGCCGCAUUAGCUAGUUGGUAAGGUAACGGCUUACCAAGGCGACGAUGCGUAGCCGACCUGAGAGGGUGAUCGGCCACACUGAAACUGAGACACGGUCCAGACUCCUACGGGAGGCAGCAGUAGGGAAUCUUCCGCAAUGGGCGAAAGCCUGACGGAGCAACGCCGCGUGAGUGAUGAAGGUCUUCGGAUCGUAAAACUCUGUUAUUAGGGAAGAACAAAUGUGUAAGUAACUAUGCACGUCUUGACGGUACCUAAUCAGAAAGCCACGGCUAACUACGUG
rnacentral:rRNA from 1 species